AUUGAACGCUGGCGGCAUGCCUUACACAUGCAAGUCGAACGGCAGCACGGGUGCUUGCACCUGGUGGCGAGUGGCGCACGGGUGAGUAAUACAUCGGAACAUGUCCCGUAGUGGGGGAUAGCCCGGCGAAAGCCGGAUUAAUACCGCAUACGAUCUACGGAUGAAAGCGGGGGACCUUCGGGCCUCGCGCUACAGGGUUGGCCGAUGGCUGAUUAGCUAGUUGGUGGGGUAAAGGCCUACCAAGGCGACGACCAGUAGCUGGUCUGAGAGGACGACCAGCCACACUGGGACUGAGACACGGCCCAGACUCCUACGGGAGGCAGCAGUGGGGAAUUUUGGACAAUGGGCGAAAGCCUGAUCCAGCAAUGCCGCGUGUGUGAAGAAGGCCUUCGGGUUGUAAAGCACUUUUGUCCGGAAAGAAAUCCUUGGCUCUAAUACAGUCGGGGGAUGACGGUACCGGAAGAAUAAGCACCGGCUAACUACGUG
rnacentral:rRNA from 1 species